rnacentral:rRNA from 1 species
UAGGGAAUCUUCCGCAAUGGACGAAAGUCUGACGGAGCAACGCCGCGUGAGUGAAGAAGGAUUUCGGUUCGUAAAACUCUGUUGUUAGGGAAGAAAAAAUGUAUAGUAACUAUAUACAAAAGAGACGGUACCUAACCAGAAAGCCACGGCUAACUACGUGCCAGCAGCCGCGGUAAUACGUAGGUGGCAAGCGUUGUCCGGAAUAAUUGGGCGUAAAGCGCGCGCAGGUGGUUUAGAAAGUCUGAUGUGAAAGCCCACGGCUCAACCGUGGAGGGUCAUUGGAAACUAAUAAACUUGAGUGCAGGAGAGAAAAGUGGAAUUCCUAGUGUAGCGGUGAAAUGCGUAGAGAUUAGGAGGAACACCGGUGGCGAAAGCGGCUUUUUGGCCUGCAACUGACACUGAGGCGCGAAAGCGUGGGGAGCAAACAGG